AUGGUGGAGUUGGUACCUUUUGCGGUUCCCAUCGUGGGUGACAAAACCUUGCUGGUGUGGGAGCUGAGCUCUGGACCCAUGGCCAAGGCCUUGCAAUCUUCUCCCAGUUUGGCCUUCUGUAUUCGGUCCGAGUCUUCCCAAACGCAGCAGUGGCCGGUCCUGGGUUCUAUGCCAUCAUCAAGUUUUAUUCAGCAAGGGAUGCCCACAGAGACCAAAAGGCAUGCGACCAGAAGCAGCUUUUUCAGAUAUCUCCAGUGAAGGUUCGUCUCGGCACCAGACAUAGGCGGUUCAACAUAAUACGCCUGCCCUAAAGAGCUCCAGAUGCCAAGAAUUGGCAAAUUACUACUUUGGUUUCAAUGGCUGGUCAAAAAGGAUCAUCAAGCUUCAGGAUCUUUCUAACCUUGAAGAAAGGGAAAAGGAAGAUAUUGUGACACCACUUCAGAAGCAAAGCCUGAAGUUCUUUUGUGCUUUAGAGGUGGUGUUGCCCUCCCAUGAGUGCAGGAGUCCCGAAGUUGGCAUGGCUGAGGAACCUUUGAAUAACUUGGAGGAAGGGUCAUUAUCAUUCCUUAUGAAAAGGAAAGUAACCCAGAAGGUUGCUAUUCAGAAGGCUAUGAGAGAUGCAUUCCAGAAACUGCUGAUUGUGGUUUUAGAAAGUGGUAAAAUAGCUGUGGCAUAUAGACCGUGUGAAGAGGUCACAGAUGCUAGAACCGAAGAGGAACUACAGGAUUUAAUUCAGGUAUGUAGAGAUAAAAGCUCGAGGGGGUACACAGCCAGUGUAGCUGUAAUUCAAAACAACCAGCAGGAUUUGGAAGACUUUGGCAUGUCUACUCAGCUCUGUCAUCCUUAG